GCCCGCCAGAAUUUGCCCGUCAACCCCGGAGCACACCGAUCAGGCCCGCUCGUGUGGACAGGCCUGUAGAUACAAUAAUUCCAGGUCCAAUUGCGAUAAGAACAGAGGUAUCCAGCUUAUUGAGGAGAGGAAGAACUACAGAAGCAGUUUAGUAAGGUGGCAGAAGACGAAGAAAAAUAACGAAGGAAUGGUAGAACAGAAGGUCAACAGAAGAAAUAAACAAGAGGUCUCCAGGCCAUUGAGGAGAGGAAGGACAACAGAAGCUGUUUUGUAAUGUGUAGAAAAAUAAAAUAAAGGCAUUGUAGAAGAACAAGGUCAACAGUAUAAAGAAGGAAAGGAAGACAAUAGGUCUCCAGACCAUCUAGGAGAUGAAGGACGAUAGCAGCAGUAAGGUGGUAGAGAGAG